AAUCUUAUAGUUUAAUAAAAACUUCAAAUUGCAAAUUUGAUAUUGAAUAUUUAUUCUAAGAUUU
rnacentral:tRNA from 1 species